ACGUUCGCGGGCGAACGGCUGGAGCUGGAUCUCUUCAUGAACUUGUCCGUCAGCGGACGGGUGAGUAAUCUUAGGAUCACCCGGGGACAACACGGGAAACUCGCUAAUACCGCAUACGCCCUGGGGGAAGGGGGAUCUUCGGACCUCCGCUAUUGGAUGACCUAAGGAUUACUUGUGGUGAGGUAAACUCACCAAGGACGAUCCGUACUGGUCUGAAGGACGAUCCCCCUGGGACUGAACCGGCCCAACUCCUACGGAGGCAGGGGGAAUAUUGGACAGGGGGCCCCUGAUCCAAUACCGUGUGUGAAAAGCGGUUGUAACCUUUCUAAAAAAAACUAGGUAAUAACCCUGAUCUUGACGUAACCUACAAAAAGCACCGGCUAACUCCGUGCCAGCAGCCGCGGUAAUACAGGGUGCGAGCGUUAAUCGGAAUUACUGGGCGUAAAGCGCGCGUAGGCGGUUUGGUCAGUCGGAUGUGAAAGCCCCGGGCUUAACCUGGGAAUUGCAUUCGAUACUGGGCUAAAUGUGGGAGAGGCAAGUGAAUUUCCGGUGUAGCGGUGAGCUAAUAUCAAGGAACACCAGUGGCGAAGGCGGGCUGGCCCAACAUUGAGCUGAGCCGAAAGCGUGUAGCGAACAGGAUUAGAACCCUGGUAUCCACGCCGUAAACGAUGAAACUAAUGUCGGAGGGAUUAGCCUCUCGGUGUCCAGCUAACGCGUUAAGUUCUCGCCUGGGGAGUACGGUGGACACUAACUCAAGGAAUUGACGGGCACCGCCAAGCGGUGGCUGUGGUUUAAUUCGAUGCACGCGAAGAACCUUACUGCUUGACAUUGACAGAUCCCGUAAGAUAUGGGAGUGCUUCCCUAGUGCUGCAUGCUGUCUCAGCUCGUGUCGUGAGAUGUAGGUAGUCCCGAAGGCACUUCCAGCGAUUCGGUCGUCUGGACUGCGGUACUGAGAACGUGGUGACGUCAGUCCU
rnacentral:rRNA from 1 species